rnacentral:rRNA from 2 species
UACGAAGGGGGCUAGCGUUGCUCGGAAUUACUGGGCGUAAAGGGAGCGUAGGCGGGUUAUCAAGUUGGAGGUGAAAGCCCAGGGCUCAACCUUGGAAUUGCCUUCAAAACUGAUAACCUAGAGGAUGAUAGAGGUAAGUGGAACUCCGAGUGUAGAGGUGAAAUUCGUAGAUAUUCGGAAGAACACCAGUGGCGAAGGCGACUUACUGGAUCAUUACUGACGCUGAGGCUCGAAAGCGUGGGGAGCAAACAGG